rnacentral:rRNA from 1 species
AGGGCACCACCAGGAGUGGAGCCUGCGGCUUAAUUUGACUCAACACGGGAAAACUCACCCGGCCCGGACACCGUAAGGAUUGACAGAUUGAGAGCUCUUUCUUGAUUCGGUGGUUGGUGGUGCAUGGCCGUUCUUAGUUGGUGGAGCGAUUUGUCUGGUUUAUUCCGAUAACGAGCGAGACUCUAGCCUACUAAAUAGUGACCGGAUAGCUUGGUCCGGGUCACUUCUUAGAGGGACAAGCGGUGUUCAGCCGCAAUAAGUUGAGCAAUAACGGGUCUGUGAUGCCCUUAGAUGUCCGGGGCUGCACGCGCGCUACACUGGAGGAAUCAGCGUGCUUGACCCAUUGCCGAAAGGCAUUGGUAAACCCUUGAAAAUCCUCCGUGAUCGGGAUCGGGAAUUGCAAUUAUUUCCCUUGAACGAGGAAUUCCCAGUAAGUGUGAGUCAUCAGCUCACGUUGAUUACGUCCCUGCCCUUUGUACACACCGCCCGCCGCUGCCCGGGACUGAGCCGUUUCGAGAA